rnacentral:lncRNA from 1 species
UCAUUUGUUUCCCUUUUUGGCAGAAAUUAGCGUGAAGAUGCAACUGCAAAAAUCUUAAUUUGCAUAUGUUAUUUAGGCAUUUUAAUCGUAUCUCUAUAUCUCUAUAUUAAUUAUUAUUAUUAUUAUUAUUAUUAUUAUUAUUAUUAUUAUUAUUAUUAUUAUUAUUAACAAUAAUAACAAUAAUAAUCAUAACAAACAGCACGUAGUCGACGUUGAUGACGCUAUACGUAGAUCGAAUGCUGAUUGGUUGAAACACUGAGUUGACCCGGAAAGAGAAAACCUUCACGGAAGCUGACAAAAAUGGCAGCGCUCGAAAGUUUCGAGGAACAGUUAGCUGAACAAAUUGCGUUACACCACAACCUUUAUGACCCUGGACACAAGUAUUACAAGAACCCGCACGUUAGCAUCAAGUCGUGGCAAGAAAUAGCAGCCGCCCUCCAGACAGAGCCUGACAAAUGCCGGGAGAAGUGGAAGCAACUUCGGGACAGGUAUGUUCGGGCCAAGAAAAAGUUCACCAGCAAAAGCGGCCAGCCAGCGAGACCAGCGAGAACCCCUCCGCUGCUGAAGUCCCUGUCGUGGCUGGACGGGUACGUGAAACACAGGAAUGCCGUGACGAGGUACACAAUAGAGAGUCCCGAAGACUUCUCAUCCUCCCCCGCAGGGCCGGCCCAGGUGCUGGAAGACAUGGCUAACCCUUAUCCUGAUAAAUCCCAGAGUUCAGCUGCAGCAUCCCCUGGACCGUCACCACACAACAGCAGCCAGGGUGGCGAAAUACAAUUGAUGGAGUCAACUCUGCCGAGCCCCUCCAGGUCCGAGGGCAGCCCGACACGGCGCUGCAUCACCCCGACCCCACAAAGCCGGCCUAAUAAAAGGAAGGAACAUGAUGAGGACCACGCCACCACCUCCAUAAAAGACCUGAUAUUGGACUGCUCCAAAAUGGCAGCAUUACGUGACAUGUGUGCUGUGCAAGGGGACGAGCUGGACGAGUCGCACUACUUUGGAAUCGUGGUCGCAAAGGGGCUGCGGACAUUGCCGGACAAAAUGCGGGCAGAUGCCAUGGCACAGGUGAUGCUGCUGUUGAGCAACUUCCGUCAACAAGCUUUUGAGCUGCAAACAACAAACGACAACAAGAAAACCUGA